AACGAACGCUAGCGGCGCGUUUUAAGCAUGCAAGUCGAACGGUGAAGCUAAAGCUUGCUUUAGUGAAUCAGUGGCGAACGGGUGAGUAAUAUAUAGAUAAUCUGCCUCAAAAUCGGGGAUAGCUUUGAGAAAUCAAAAUUAAUACCGGAUGUGGUUAUUUUCAUAAGAUUUUAAUUAAGGAACUUGUUCCGUUUGAGAUGAGUCUAUAUUCUAUUAGCUUGUUGGUUGGGUAAUGGCCUACCAAGGCUAUGAUAGAUAACCGGCCUGAGAGGUGUACGGUCACAUUGGAACUGAGAUACGGGUCCAAACUCCUAGGGAGGCAGCAGCUAAGAAUCUUCCGCAAUGGGAAAAGCCUGACGGAGCGACGUCGCGUGGAUGAUGAAGGCCUUAACGGUUGUAAAGU
rnacentral:rRNA from 1 species